rnacentral:rRNA from 1 species
AACGAACGCUGGCGGCAUGCCUAACACAUGCAAGUCGAACGAGACCUUCGGGUCUAGUGGCGCACGGGUGCGUAACGCGUGGGAAUCUACCCUUGGGUUCGGAAUAACAGUUAGAAAUGACUGCUAAUACCGGCUGAUGACGUAAGUCCAAAGAUUUAUCGCCCAAGGAUGAGCCCGCGUAAGAUUAGCUUGUUGGUGGGGUAAUGGCAUACCAAGGCGACGAUCUUUAGCUGGUCUGAGAGGAUGAUCAGCCACACUGGGACUGAGACACGGCCCAGACUCCUACGGGAGGCAGCAGUGGGGAAUAUUGGACAAUGGGCGAAAGCCUGAUCCAGCAAUGCCGCGUGAGUGAUGAAGGCCUUAGGGUUGUAAAGCUCUUUUACCAGGGAUGAUAAUGACAGUACCUGGAGAAUAAGCUCCGGCUAACUCCGUGCCAGCCGCCGCUGUAA